rnacentral:rRNA from 1 species
GACGAACGCUGGCGGCGUGCUUAACACAUGCAAGUCGAACGGAAAGGCCCUGCUUUUGUGGGGUGCUCGAGUGGCGAACGGGUGAGUAACACGUGAGUAACCUGCCCUUGACUUUGGGAUAACUUCAGGAAACUGGGGCUAAUACCGGAUAGGAGCUCCUGCUGCAUGUUGGGGGUUGGAAAGUUUCGGCGGUUGGGGAUGGACUCGCGGCUUAUCAGCUUGUUUGUGGGGUAGUGGCUUACCAAGGCUUUGACGGGUAGCCGGCCUGAGAGGGUGAACGGCCACAUUGGGACUGAGGUACGGCCCAGACUCCUACGGGAGGCAGCAGUGGGGAAUAUUGCAGAAUGGGCGGAAGCCUGAUGCAGCAACGUCGCGUGCGGGAUGCCGGCUUUCGGGUUGUAAACCGAUUUCGCCUGUGACGAAGAGUGAGUGACGGUAAUGGGUAAAGAAGCACCGGCUAACUACGUG